rnacentral:tRNA from 1 species
GUUCCGCUAGCUCAGUCGGUAGAGCACUUGACUUUUAAUCAAGGGGUCUUGAGUUCGAAUCUCAAGCGGGACACCA